rnacentral:tRNA from 1 species
AAGAUAUUAGUAAAAUCAUUACAUAACUUUGCCAUAGUUGAAUUAUAGGUUUAAUUCCUAUAUAUCUUA